ensembl:lincRNA
GUCAGGAGAAAGGAAGGAAAGUUAUUCUGGGCUUUCUUUCCCAUAGCGAGCAGGGUGCAGCCUUCAUGGAAGGAAGCAGGGAAGAGCUGGACAGCAGCCUCUUUAUACCAGGUUGGGAAGGCACUGGGGACAGUAUUGUGGAUCUUCGCUAAAAACUCUAGGACUUUCAUCUUGGUGGUUUCUACAUGAGCUCGUGGACCCCAUAGAAAUUGAUAGCGCGGAGGAUCACUGUCGGGCACUUGCUGAUACUGCAGAUUUGUUCCUCAGUGGCACAAUUACCAUUUGUGAAGAUCACACCCAGGAUAGUCAUCAGCAGGCCAGUCCUGGGCACACGUCUGUCAUCACUCAACUUUGCAUCAUGGGUUGGUACCAGUGUGUUGAUAAGGAAAUAGAUGUGCCUAUCUGGAUCCAUUUCCUUCAGGUCAAGUCCAAAGACCAUCUCCAGGUGAUAUGAAACUUUCCCCAGGAUCUCACUGAAGUAUCUCCUGGGAAUUUGGACUAUAUCUUUCAGCAUAGCUGCCUUUAUAAUAAGCUCUUUCAUUUGAUACUUGUACAGAAGGUAAUGCACCAAAAUAAACACCUUCUCAUCUAGAGGGCUUCUGGUCAUGUGCUCAUUGGCAGCCAGGGCCUGUGAGGAUCUUGGUCUUUCCUCCGUUUGGUUGUUGGUGCUUUCAUUAGAUCUUACAUAUGAAACAGCUGCAGCAGUAGUGGUGGUGCAUGUGGCUCUCUGAGGCCCGUGGGGAUUGCUGGUUGUCUUGGCAGCAAUUGAGCUCUGGAUGGUACUCCUGAAAUGAGCAGAGGAAGAGGAGGAACAUUCUCUUCCCACUCUUGCAGUGGCUUGAGCACCCAUCAGAGGCUCUGGCUCUUCUCGAGCCUGACGGCGUUUCUCACGGGCACGAAGCUUACUCUUUUGACCCCGAGGCAUGAUGACUUAAGACAGGGUAGUAGACAGUUAGACACGUGAGCUCUGUGACCUAGAGGAAAGAGGAUGAGAUGGUUGGGUCACUUCAACUGGGAGACACCUCCGUGACUUUAUUGAAGGCCACCUCAGCAGUUUUCCUUGAAGUCACUGCUCUAGGAAUCCCGUAAUGCUCCUAUUCCCUGAUCUGCUUGUUCCCUAAGAACCUGCGGAAUUAACUAAGACUUAGGUUGUCACUACUUGCCAGAUAUGCCUAGGACUUACUGGGAUUUAGAGAAGUGGCUCUGUUCUGGGGCAGGAGGUCAUUCUCUCAGUUCACAUUAAGGAUCAUUAUCUCACUUCUCUUAUGACCUGGGGUCCCUCUGAUCUACUACUUUGAUGCUGACCCCUCACUUCAAAGCCCUCCUCUCUCUGUGAUCCCAGAAGGUGAAUUCAGGGAAACCUCAUCUGACCACACCUGCUGGAGACACAGAGACAGAUGAAAGCACAGGCCAAGCUCUGUGGGACUCUCUAUCCUGGGGUAAUUAGUGUUCUCAG